UACGGAGGGUGCAAGCAUUAAUCGGAUUUAUUGGGCGUAAAGGGCGCGUAGGCGGAAAUGUAAGUCAGAUGUGAAAUUCCGGGGCUCAACCUCGGAGCUGCAUUUGAAACUACAUUCCUUGAGGGUAGGCGGAGGAAAUGGAAUUCCACAAGUAGCGGUGAAAUGCGUAGAUAUGUGGAAGAACACCGGUGGCGAAGGCGAUUUCCUAGCUUAUACCUGACGCUGAAGCGCGAAAGCAAGGGGAGCAAACAGG
rnacentral:rRNA from 1 species